UACGGAGGGUGCAAGCGUUGUCCGGAAUUAUUGGGCGUAAAGAGCUCGUAGGCGGCCUGUCGCGUCCGCUGUGAAAACCCGGGGCUUAACCCCGGGCCUGCAGUGGGUACGGGCAGACUAGAGUGCGGUAGGGGAGAUUGGAAUUCCUGGUGUAGCGGUGGAAUGCGCAGAUAUCAGGAGGAACACCGAUGGCGAAGGCAGAUCUCUGGGCCGUAACUGACGCUGAGGAGCGAAAGCGUGGGGAGCGAACAGG
rnacentral:rRNA from 1 species